GUAGGUGGCAAGCGUUGUCCGGAAUUAUUGGGCGUAAAGCGCGCGCAGGCGGUUCUUCAAGUCUGAUGUGAAAGCCCACGGCUCAACCGUGGAGGGUCAUUGGAAACUGGAGAACUUGAGUACAGAAGAGGAAAGCGGAAUUCCACGUGUAGCGGUGAAAUGCGUAGAGAUGUGGAGGAACACCAGUGGCGAAGGCGGCUUUCUGGUCUGUAACUGACGCUGAGGCGCGAAAGCGUGGGGGGAGCAAACAGGGUUAGAUACCCUGGUAGUCCACGCCGUAAACGAUGAGUGCUAAGUGUUAGGGGGUUUCCGCCCCUUAGUGCUGCAGCUAACGCAUUAAGCACUCCGCCUGGGAGUACGGCCGCAAGGCUG
rnacentral:rRNA from 1 species